GAGGCAGCAGAUUGACCUGUUUCCAAUAAUCAGUGGCGGAAGAAGUGUUGAGAUUUUCUGCUUCAGUAAAAGUAGCUAAACACAACUGUAAAAAUACUCCAGUACAGUUAGCAUGCUAACCAGCUAGCUCCGGUCUGGCAGGGCCCGUCUCGUCACUUUGUGAUAGUGAGUCACUGUAGCGUCCGGAGUGCCCUCGGCCCAGCCCUCAGAGCGAGUAUUCUAACCUCUUGACCUGUAUACGCAACGAUGGCUGAAGCUCUUGGCAAGCGACCGUUGUCACCACCACCACCACCAGCCGCUCCCGACAAGAAAAUCUGUUCAUCAGGCAGAGGAGGUGUGUCCUGUUGCCAUGGAGACGCGUCCCCGGGGAACGCGGCGGUGAAUCGUGAUUGUGGAAACGCUUGUCCCGGAGCA